rnacentral:rRNA from 1 species
AUGGGCACCCAUCUUUCUUUCAGUACCGCUUUCCACCCUCAGUCAAGUGGUCAGGUGGAAAGGGUCAACCAAAUUCUCGAAGACAUGCUUAGAGCUUGCGUUAUCUCAUUCGGUAUGGAUUGGGAGAAAUGUCUUCCUUUCGCCGAGUUUGCUUAUAACAAUAGCUAUCAAUCCAGUCUUAAGAAAGCACCCUUCGAAAUUCUGUAUGGACGAAGAUGUCGAACACCUUUGAACUGGUCAGAAACUGGUGAAAGACAAUUCUUUGGACCGGAUAUGAUCCAGCAGGCAGAAGAGCAAGUUCGCAUCAUUCGUGAGAAUUUGAAAACAACCCAAUCUCGUCAAAAGAGGCAGUAUGUCCACUGUCAUAAGGAAGUGGCUUAUGAAGUUGGCGACAAGGCUUACCUUCCGGUUACUCCUUUGAAGGGUACCCAUCGUUUCGGUAUCAAGGGCAAGUUGGCUCCUCGUUACAUCGGUCCUUUUCGCAUUCUCGCUAAACGAGGAGAGGUUGCCUAUCAGUUGGAACUACCCCCACAUCUUUCUCGAGUUCAUGAUGUCUUCCACGUCUCUCAACUCAGGCGUUGCUUCUCGGAUCCCAUCCGCGAAGUGGACCACGAAACGCUUGAUCUCCAAGAUAACCUUACUUAUCGAGAGUAUCCUGUUCGCAUUCUGGAUCAAGCAGAGCGUGUCACUCGACGUCAUAACAUCAAGUUUCUCAAGGUUCAAUGGUCUCAUCAUUCCGAGAGAGAAGCUACUUGGGAGCGAGAAGAUCGUCUUCGACUUGAGUACCCCGCUUUCUUUCCGCCAACUCAUGAAUCUCGGGACGAGAUUUCUUCGAGUGGGGGCGAGUUGUCACAUCCCUAG